rnacentral:misc_RNA from 1 species
CGGGAUAGUUCCUGUUAAACUGUUUCUAGACAAGUUCAAGGCAAGUAAUCCACCUAGGCUCGUAAAUUGCGAAGGAAUUUCUCCAGAAAGAUUAUUUGAUGAAAGAUCCAUGGACUUCACUACAGGAACAGCUUGAGGAAAGAGACGUUGUGCCCCUGUGAUAUUCCUUUCGAGAUGCAUCAUGGAGAGAGUUUUCAAAUCAUAAUUGUAAUAACAGCUGCUGCCUGGCUCAGUCAGGGCCUGUAAAGUGCCAACACAACUUGGAAUCCGUCCUGACAAG